GGCUCUGCACAGUCGCACCUGGGAGCUGGGAAGUAGUAAUAUGUGACGUGGCCCUAAUCAGAAAACCUGCACUUUCUUGUGUAAUUAUCUCAAAAAUUGGAUCAGAAUUCUGGGAAGGCAGUGAGGAUAUGGAGUAACAGAGCCAUUCCCUUGGCCACCAGUGGAUUCAUGCAAAGUGUAGGAUGUGAGGACAUACCAAGGACAGCUGGGGGGGACUAUGAUAAGACCCAUUAAAACACGGACGGUGCAAAGAUCGUGGAGCGGAAAUAACUAGCAGAAGUUAUGC
ensembl:lncRNA